rnacentral:rRNA from 1 species
CAGCAGUAGCCGCGGUAAUACCGAGGGUGCGAGCGUUAAUCGGAUUUACUGGGCGUAAAGCGUGCGUAGGCGGCUUUUUAAGUCGGAUGUGAAAUCCCUGAGCUUAACUUAGGAAUUGCAUUCGAUACUGGGAAGCUAGAGUAUGGGAGAGGAUGGUAGAAUUCCAGGUGUAGCGGUGAAAUGCGUAGAGAUCUGGAGGAAUACCGAUGGCGAAGGCAGCCAUCUGGCCUAAUACUGACGCUGAGGUACGAAAGCAUGGGGAGCAAACAGGAUUAGAUACCCCAGUAGUCCCUGUCUCUUAUAC